rnacentral:rRNA from 1 species
AAAACUUUCAACAACGGAUCUCUUGGUUCUGGCAUCGAUGAAGAACGCAGCGAAAUGCGAAAAGUAAUGUGAAUUGCAGAAUUCAGUGAAUCAUCGAAUCUUUGAACGCACAUUGCGCCUCCCGGUAUUCCGGGGGGCAUGCCUGUUCGAGCGUCAUUGCACCACUCAAGCUUGGCUUGGUGUUGGGCUCUCGUCCCCUGUGGACGUGCCCGGAAAUCAGUGGCGGCGCAGCCCGACUUCAAGCGGUAUUAACAUUA